rnacentral:rRNA from 1 species
UACGAAGGGGGCUAGCGUUGUUCGGAAUUACUGGGCGUAAAGCGCGCGCAGGCGGUCCUUCAAGUCAGAGGUGAAAGCCCAGAGCUCAACUCUGGAAUGGCCUUUGAGACUAGAGGACUUGGGUACGGGAGAGGUGAGUGGAAUUCCGGGUGUAGUGGUGAAAUGCGUAGAGAUCCGGAGGAACACCAGUGGCGAAGGCGACACGCUGGGCCGUACCUGACACUGAACCGCGACAGCAUGGGGAGCAAACAGG